rnacentral:lncRNA from 1 species
CAAACAGAGAUGUCUGUAUGAUCAACCAGCUGCAAAAAGAAUUGUGCUUAUCUGCAUGGUUAUAAACCUGACCAUAGAACUUAUGCCUCAGGAAAAAGAAUUGCAGAGAUAACCACACCUUUCAGCUGAAUGCACAACAGCCUGCUAAAGCUCUUUGUACAAGAGACAGUGAACUGCAAAAAUCAUGAGAUGAGAUAGAGAGAGACGUGGUUCUGUUUGUUUCUUCAGGAGAACCUUUUAUGAGCAGAGAGGCAGUUAAGUUUGAUGUUAAUGGAAAACCCAUUUAAAACAAUGAUUACCCUAUGAAGAAAAAGUGAGUGCACUCAAGUGGAAACGGAAGACUUAUCGAUCAGUUUUCAGGCACAUCAAAAGCUUUCUGAUCAACCCUUUUCUCUCUCGGUGUUUUCCUCCCGGAUGUGCCGCUUGGCAAGGAAGGGCAGUGAGCGGAAAGGAGACGGCAGGGCCGGGCGGCAGGCUGCAGGCCUCGCCAGCUCUGCAGCCUUGGCGCCCAGCACGGCAGCCACAUGAGCAAAGCCCUGCCGGUCUUCUCCUGCCCCUUCAAAGCGGUGAGGAAGGAGAUUUCAUUUUUCCGGAUCGUAAUCUCCACUAAAGGGGAAAAGGAAAACCAGAACAAUUGUGGUGAGCAAAAAGAACCAAAGAACCACAACAAGUGAAGAGACAACAAGAGGAACAGAGCUGGGAGAAAAUCACCGUUCUUCUGUAAGUAGAUGGCCACGUUGCCUGCUAAAACAUUGCCUAAAAGUCCAGAGACACUCAGGUGAAAUUGCCAUUGCCUCCUUUGCACACCCAGCUGCUAGCACGUCCUGUUGUUUUAAGCAUCUGUGGUGGGCUUGGCAUUUUUGGUUUGUGGUUUUGCUGUUACCUUUCUGUUAUGGCUAAUUAGUGCUACUAUUAAUAUCUGCCGAAGUCUUCCAGGUGUGGUGGUGGAAACCAACUGAUGAUGGGCAAGCGAUCUGGGCUGCUGG